rnacentral:rRNA from 1 species
GCUUACGGCCAUACCAAAGG